rnacentral:rRNA from 1 species
UACGUAGGUGGCAAGCGUUGUCCGGAUUUACUGGGCGUAAAGAGCGCGCAGGCGGUCGUGCAAGUCGCGUGUGAAAGCCCCCGGCUCAACUGGGGAGGGUCACGCGAUACUGCUCGACUCGAAGGCAGGAGAGGGAAGUGGAAUUCCAGGUGUAGCGGUGAAAUGCGUAGAUAUCUGGAGGAACACCGGUGGCGAAGGCGGCAUCCUGGACCGGUAUUGACGCUGAGGCGCGAAAGCCAGGGGAGCAAACGGG